UACAGAGGUGGCAAGCGUUGUUCGGAAUUACUGGGCGUAAAGGGCGUGUAGGUGGCUUCUUAAGUCAGACGUGAAAUCCCCCGGCUUAACCUGGGAACUGCGUCUGAUACUGGGAAGCUAGAGUUCGGGAGAGGGAUGUAGAAUUCCAGGUGUAGCGGUGAAAUGCGUAGAUAUCUGGAGGAAUACCGGUGGCGAAGGCGGCACCCUGGACCGAAACUGACACUGAGGAGCGAAAGCGUGGGGAGCGAACAGG
rnacentral:rRNA from 1 species